rnacentral:rRNA from 1 species
GGGUGAGUAACACGUGAGCAACCUGCCUAUCAGAGGGGGAUAACGAUUGGAAACGAUCGCUAAUACCGCAUGACAUAGCGGAAUCGCAUGGUUCUGUUAUCAAAGAUUUUAUCGCUGAUAGAUGGGCUCGCGUCCGAUUAGAUAGUUGGUGGGGUAACGGCCUACUAAGUCGACGAUCGGUAGCCGGACUGAGAGGUCGAACGGCCACAUUGGGACUGAGACACGGCCCAGACUCCUACGGGAGGCAGCAGUGGGGGAUAUUGCACAAUGGGGGAAACCCUGAUGCAGCGACGCCGCGUGAGGGAAGACGGUCCUCUGGAUUGUAAACCUCUGUCUUCGGGGACGAAACGAGACGGUACCCGAGGAGGAAGCCACGGCUAACUACGUGCCAGCAGCCGCGGUAAUACGUAGGUGGCAAGCGUUGUCCGGAAUUACUGGGUGUAAAGGGAGCGUAGGCGGGCAGGCAAGUCAGGCGUGAAAUAUAUCGGCUCAACCGGUAACGGCGCUUGAAACUGCAGGUCUUGAGUGAAGUAGAGGUUGGCGGAAUUCCUAGUGUAGCGGUGAAAUGCGUAGAUAUUAGGAGGAACACCAGUGGCGAAGGCGGCCAACUGGGCUUUUACUGACGCUGAGGCUCGAAAGUGUGGGGAGCAAACAGGAUUAGAUACCCUGGUAGUCCACACCGUAAACGAUGAUUACUAGGUGUGGGGGGACU